rnacentral:rRNA from 1 species
UACAGAGGUCCCAAGCGUUGUUCGGAUUCAUUGGGCGUAAAGGGCGCGUAGGCGGCCUUCUAAGUCGAACGUGAAAUCCCCGGGCUCAACCCGGGAACUGCGUCCGAUACUGGAAGGCUUGAAUCCGGGAGAGGGAUGUGGAAUUCCAGGUGUAGCGGUGAAAUGCGUAGAUAUCUGGAGGAACACCGGUGGCGAAGGCGACAUCCUGGACCGGUAUUGACGCUGAGGCGCGAAAGCCAGGGGAGCAAACGGG